UAAGCAAAAGUAUCAAAGUAAGAAAAUAACCCAAAACCUUACAAAUCUGAUAUGGAUUGAAAAACUAAUAUACUAUAAGAGAGAGAAAAAAAAAUCAAAUGCAUAAACCUCAUGAGAAAGACCCACAUCGGCUAAGUAAGCAGCAGGGGAACCUCAGAUUGUACUAUAAAUAAACGACAACGGCUAACCUUGAAACAUACUUACCUGGACGGGGUCUAUGGGCGAUCAAGAAUAUCCAUGGCCUAGGUUGGUGACCUCCAUUGCACGUACCGGAGGGGUGCCCGCCUAAGGUCUGCCCAAAGUGGCAGAGCCUACGUCAUAAUUUGUGGUAGCGGGGGCCUGCGUUCGCGCGGCCCCUUCCCAAAGCACCAAGUUUUAACUCUUUCUCAUUCCAGCUCACGAGCAUAAAAUAACGGGUGAUGACCAACGAUGAGGCGAUGAUUGAGAUUCCCACAUCGGGGAAGCUAUUGGUAGGGACCUCAGAGUGUACUAUAAAUACAAACGAUGGCUAUCAUUUAAACAUACUUACCUGGACGGGGUCAAUGGGCGAUCAAGAAGAUCCAUGGCCUAGGUUGGUGACCUCCAUUGCACACACCGGAGGGGUGCCCGCCUAAGGUCUGCCCAAAGUGGCAGAGCCUACGUCAUAAUUUGUGGCAGCGGGGGCCUGCGUUCGCGCGGCCCCUUCCCAAUUCUCCAGUUCCAACCUUUCUACCUUCCAGGUAUUUCUUUCAAUUGGAAAGUUGAGUUGUGUCGUCAAUCUUCGUAUGAAUGAAUCUAUAAUAUGAUGUAGCGUGUCUAUGUUUAUGAAUGAAUUUGAGCUAUACAUAUUAUGGAUCACUGGGCCUCAUGAAGUUGCUUUGGGAUUAGAAUUGAGAAGUAGAUGGAAACAUUAGUUAUUGAUGAAUGGAAAAUGUUAAGUAAUUGUGGGCUGUUUGAUUUCGGGGUCUUUAUGGGUUGACAUUUGAUGGGUUGAAAUGGAAGUUUAACAUUUCCAAAUUGCUGAAUUUCUUAGAAAUCAACUGAACCUGAAAUUAGUAAGUCAUAUUCUGGAUGUUUUGGUUUUGAUGCAAUUUUAUUCAUGUAUUCUGAAGCUCGAAGUCCAAGUGAAAUUACCAUCAGAUUCUUCUUUGUGGUUGUCAAAUUUCAUUCGGGAUUGAUUCUUAAUUAAAGAUGGAAUCUAUUUUCUUCAAAACCAUAUAUAGCAGGUGAAGUGGAAAAUACGAAGGACUUGAUGUGGGGAUUUUUAAAAUUUUUUGAUGUGAAUGAAAAUGUCUACUUUUACGAAAACGCCAAUAGAAGUAUCAAACGAGAACAUAAAUGGAAGUAUCAACAAAAUGUUCCAGCAUUUAAAAAGUAAAUCAGAAUAUGAACAUUUAAAAAGCAAAUCAGACUUUUUUUUCGUUAAGUUAGGGAACUUUAAAAUAUGAAGUUCACAUCAAAUUUACACCAAAUUUGUUGCCAGGGUUCGUUUUUUAUGUCCAUAAACUUAUAGGGUUCGUUUUUUAUGUCCAUAAACUUACUUUGCGACUCCUACAGUAUCGUUGUUUUGUCCAUUGAGUUUCAAUGCUCUCAAGGGAAACCAAAUCUAUGCCUGUUUCCGAGUACUUGUAUUCUAACAUCAGGACCCUCUUCCUAGCACCAAGAAGCCACAACGAUCUGAUUAAUAGUUUUUGCUUUCUCCUCUUCUUGGAAGAUCUUCUUCUUUACAUCCAAUUUUAGGGCAUCAAUGCAAUAAUCUUUUACAAAGGUUCUAUGACAGACUACAGAGUUUUUUUUUUUUUUCAUUUCAAUUACUACCAAAACGACUCCAAAGUUCUGUUACCAGCGUCCCCUUUUCACAUCGCUGCGGAGACCCUCAGACAACUAACUGAGUGAAAUCCAAAGAGGGAUGAGCAAGAGAGAAAGAGAGAAUGAAACUUAAUGGGAAUGGGACCAAGUUGUGAGAAUGAAAAAGUACUAAAAAGUAGUGUAUUGAUGCAACCCUGUAACAAUUCCAAUGUUCGAUUAGAAAAGAUUAAAUCUAUCAUAAGACGUUGUAAGUAACAAGAAUGGGUUUAAUAUUUAAUACCAAGGCAACUGACCUUUAAAGUGAAAUACUUUUGAUUAACAUAUUCUUUUGAUAAACAUUCUGACAUAUUUUCUUUAUUCAUGGAUUUUUUUAAUUUGCUAUCUACUAUUAGUGAAGAUUUGAAAAAUCGAUAACAAUGAUUUGUGGAAGUGAGGUAACAAGUACGGGUUGAAUGCGUAGAAUUGAAUAGUGUAAAUGUGUAGAAUUCAAUAAUGAUCUAUGAUCAAGUUGGUAUGGCUGGGUUGUCUAGCACUGAGUUAUAGAACUUGUGGGCAAAACAAUUUUCUCACACAUCCAACCCAACCUAUAUCCUCAAUAAUUUUUUAACGCAUAUGUUUUUGUUUGUAAUUUGAAUAGAAAUUCUAAUCUUGAAUGAAAAUCAGAGAAGAGUAAGGAAACAAAACCAAUAGUCUUUUAAAGAUAGCAACGAAAGCCGAAAGGUUAGGGAGCAAGUCCCACAUCGGAGAAACAAGAAAAAGGAACCUCACAAAGCGUUAUAAAUACAAGACAAUGGCUUCCAUUCCAACAUACUUACCUGGACGGGGUCAAUGGGCGAUCAGAAAGGUCCAUGGCCUAGGUUGGUGACCUCCAUUGCACAUACCGGAGGGGUGCCCGCCUAAGGUCUGCCCAAAGUGGCAGAGCCUACGUCAUAAUUUGUGGUAGUGGGGGCCUGCGUUCGCGCGGCCCCUUC